ensembl:misc_RNA Metazoa_SRP Metazoan signal recognition particle RNA
GCUGGGCGUGGUGGCGCAUGCCUGUAGUCCCAGCUACUCAGGAGGCUGAGGUGGGAGGAUCACUUGAGCCCGGGAGGUCAAGGCUGCAGUGAGCCAUGAUCACACCACUGCACCCCAGCCUGGGUGACAGAGUGAGACCUUGUCUCAA